rnacentral:rRNA from 1 species
GCAUAUCAAUAAGCGGAGGAAAAGAAACCAACAGGGAUUGCCCUAGUAACGGCGAAGUGAAGCGGCAACAGCUCAAAUUUGAAAGCUAGCCUUCGGGUUCGCAUUGUAAUUUGUAGAGGAUGCUUUGGGUAAAACGCCAGUCUAAGUUCCUUGGAACAGGACGUCAUAGAGGGUGAGAAUCCCGUAUGUGACUGGAAAUGUUAACCUAUGUAAAGCUCCUUCGACGAGUCGAGUUGUUUGGGAAUGCAGCUCUAAAUGGGAGGUAAAUUUCUUCUAAAGCUAAAUAUUGGCGAGAGACCGAUAGCGCACAAGUAGAGUGAUCGAAAGAUGAAAAGCACUUUGGAAAGAGAGUUAAAAAGCACGUGAAAUUGUUGAAAGGGAAGCGCUUGCAAUCAGACUUGUUUAAACUGUUCGGCCGGUCUUCUGACCGGUUUACUCAGUUUGGACAGGCCAGCAUCAGUUUCGGCGGCCGGAUAAAGGCUCUGGGAAUGUGGCCUCCACUUCGGUGGAGGUGUUAUAGCCCAGUGUGUAAUACGGCCAGCCGGGACUGAGGUCCGCGCUUCGGCUAGGAUGCUGGCGUAAUGGUUGUAAGCGACCCGUCUUGAAACACGGACCAAGGAGUCUAACAUCUAUGCGAGUGUUCGGGUGUCAAACCCCUGCGCGUAAUGAAAGUGAACGGAGGUGGGAACCGCAAGGUGCACCAUCGACCGAUCCUGAUGUCUUCGGAUGGAUUUGAGUAAGAGCAUAGCUGUUGGGACCCGAAAGAUGGUGAACUAUGCCUGAAUAGGGUGAAGCCAGAGGAAACUCUGGUGGAGGCUCGCAGCGGUUCUGACGUGCAAAUCGAUCGUCAAAUUUGGGUAUAGGGGGCGAAAGACUAAUCGAACCAUCUAGUAGCUGGUUCCUGC